UGUUGAGGAAGAUAAUGACGGUACUCAACAAGGAAGUGACGGCUAACUACGUGCCAGCAGCCGCGGUAAAACGUAGGUCACAAGCGUUGUCCGGAAUUACUGGGUGUAAAGGGAGCGCAGGCGGGAGAACAAGUUGGAAGUGAAAUCCAUGGGCUCAACCCAUGAACUGCUUUCAAAACUGUUUUUCUUGAGUAGUGCAGAGGUAGGCGGAAUUCCCGGUGUAGCGGUGGAAUGCGUAGAUAUCGGGAGGAACACCAGUGGCGAAGGCGGCCUACUGGGCACCAACUGACGCUGAGGCUCGAAAGUGUGGGUAGCAAACAGGAUUAGAUACCCUGGUAGUCCACACCGUAAACGAUGAUUACUAGGUGUUGGAGGAUUGACCCCUUCAGUGCCGCAGUUAACACAAUAAGUAAUCCACCUGGGGAGUACGACCGCAAGGUUGAAACUCAAAGGAAUUGACGGGGGCCCGCACAAGCAGUGGAGUAUGUGGUUUAAUUCGACGCAACGCGAAGAACCUUACCAAGUCUUGACAUCCCUUGACGAUGCUGGAAACAGUAUUUCUCUUCGGAGCAAGGAGACAGGUGGUGCAUGGUUGUCGUCAGCUCGUGUCGUGAGAUGUUGGGUUAAGUCCCGCAACGAGCGCAACCCUUAUGGUCAGUUACUACGCAAGAGGACUCUGGCCGGACUG
rnacentral:rRNA from 1 species